UUUGAAAGUCUUCAGCUUACAAAGCCAGGGCACAGUUUAGCCCAUUAGCCCGGGGGCCUGAUUCUCCGUUACAUCAGCUCUAAUAGAAUUGCACUUGUGCAACAAAGGCGAUAAUGAAAUAAAUAAGUCAUAAUAUCUCUGGGUGCUACUAUGUGACCAAAACAGCUGGAUACACCAUACGCCAGGAGGUCUGUGGAAAGGCAUCAAAUGUGGAGCAGCUUGGCUGCUGGCUGCCAUGCCAUGCCAUGGCUUCCCAGCCUGAGAAGUGGCUUUCCUCCAGAAGAGGCAACCACAUGCUGGGAAUGACAUAACUCCUGCCUUAAGUGCUGAUGCAAUAGCUUGAGCAAUACACAGCGUGGGAACACGUCGAUUAGCUCUCGCUUUGAAGAAAUUGGAUUUGCAAAGGUCAGCAGUGGCUCGGCCCAUUUCUCAGCAGAUCUUUGGCUUGCUUUUCAUCCCAGGGCUAGCAGGGAGGAGGUCAGAGAGGAACGACAAAAAGAACGAGCUUUUUGAAGCAAGCCCAAAGAAUUUGACCAUGCUCACAGUAGUGCAGAGACUUCUUUUGCUACUGAAGAGGUAGUUUUAAAAUAAAAUUUAAAGGAAUAA